GACAUCCUGGGGUUUCAAGGAAAUUGAAAUUGCUUUUUUAUUAGCAAAAAUAUUCAUUGCAUCCUACCCUGCCUUUGUACAGUGCUUCUGCCAUGAGACGCCUUGGAGAAGGCUGCAAACUCAGCAGGGAACACGCUCGGGAGCAGGCAGUCAAAAGCAGCUUCUCCUCAGAGCAGAGAUGCCAUGGGAGACAGGAAUCCACUGAAUCCUGAAAUUGGUGGGAGACAGAUAUCAGGAACUUGUUUCUUACAGAGAUUUCUUCUACCUUGGGUGGGUGCAAAGGGUUUCUGACAAACAGUUUGCAGGGUACCCCGGAUUCCUGAGCACCAGAGUUGGUUGUCCCUGCCAUUUGUGGAGGCAAGGUACCCAGUGGAGCUGAUGCAGUGCUGCCAGUUCUCUCAUAGCAGCAAAACCUGGAUCCACAGAGACUACUCUAUUUUGAGCUCAGGAAAAACUGUGACCUUGCUUUGCAAAUGGUGAGAUUUUCCUGAUCUAUUCAGCUCAACAGCUGUGAGAGCGUGAGGGCUGGGCAGGUGGAGAGAGGAGGGUGAUCCACAGUUUCUGCCCCUCAAGGUGAUUUCUGCCUGCUCAAUAAAGCUGUCAGCCCUCAGGUGGGUGAGCCCUCACAGUUGCUCUUCCUGCCUUCCAGGUCUCAGCACUGGAGUUGCGCAGUUUCUCUUAGAGCUGCUUCUACAGCUAUGGAUUCUCUGCAAGCUGAGCUCAGACAAGGAAGGGUGAUAGCAGGAAAAGAAAACCUGCUGCAAACCCUUCUGAAGGCAAAAGGUUGGGACCUCUGGCUCACAGCAACUUGCAGAAAAAGCCACCAUCAUUUGUUUGCAGUGAUUUAAGGUCUGGUUAAGCAGCAGUGAUACAAAUGAAAUUGGCUCUCAG